rnacentral:sRNA from 1 species
GCAGAAUUCAGUGAAUCAUCGAAUCUUUGAACGCAAAUGGCGCUCUUGGGUUCUCCCAGGAGCAUGUCUGUCUGAGUGUCUUUUUCGUUGAAUGACAUUCGCACGAUGUGGCCGUGUUAUGCACUGGCGUUUCGUGCGGCGUUGAGGUUCGCGGCCUUGCUAUUCUUAGGCCGCGUGCCUUUAAAUGGAGGAGGAAGAUGGGCUCAAGGUCCGGUGCAGUCGCAUGCGGAUUCAGUUCAUGUGCCGCAUGUGACUGCUGCACCGGGAAUAUUGUCCUCGACCCUCUACCUCGUGACCUUUAGCACGACGCUCGUUCGUUCGUUCGUUGCUUGCCGCCAGACCUCAGAUCAGGCAAGGCUACCCGCUGAAUUUAAGCAUAUUAAUAAGCGGAGGAAAAGAAACUAACAAGGAUUCCCCCAGUAACGGCGAGUGAAGCGGGAAGAGCUCAAAUUUGAAAUCUCCGAUGCCUGCAUCGGCGAGUUGUAGUUGCGAGAAGCACUUUCUAGGCGGAAGGGCCCUGCCUAAGUUGCUUGGAACAGCACGUCGCAGAGGGUGACAACCCCGUCU